UGAUUUUGUCCUUCCAUUAACGUAUCUUGACUAGGAUAGAAAUCUUAAACUGUGAUAGGCUGAUAGAUUCCAUCACCUUGGGGCAAACAUCACAUAUUGGUUUCGCAAACAAACUGUCGAGAUUAGAACGGAUACGUAUAACACUCUCUCUAGAUAUGCGAAUCAAAUUUUAGUACAGUAGUAGUAUCUAUGAACGCACAUGGCAUAGGUAAUUUUCUGGUUAUGAAGCAGGGGGGACGUUUAAGAUGAAAAAAAUGACCGUUGGCGCUCCUCCCUCUGCGCCCGCGGCGCCCCCGCGGUGUGCUACUCCAGCCACCGCGGCCACCCUGCUGCUGCCUGCCUCCCCGACGACCGUGCUCCCACCUCCGCCGCCCAUCCCAGCUGGUUUCCAGCCUGAAAGGUUUGUCCCUUCUGUCUCCCAGCUGGUUCCCUCUUCUGUUGCGCAGCGCCGUCCACCGCGUGCGCUUCGACCUCCGCGCCUCCCCCUCGAGCUCCGCGCGGGUGGGUGGCCUCUUUUACUCCGGCAGCUCGCUUCAGUCGGCAAGCCGGCUGGCAGCUGGUACGAGCUCCGUUCUGGUGGAGGAAAUCAACUUCCCCAAGAUGGCCUCCGCAUUCAUUGCUCCACCGGCCGGCUCCAAGAUCCCCUCCGCAUUCAAGGCAAGCCCCGCGCUCCCCAGCUCACUUCGGCCUCAACCCCUUCAACAAAAAGCCAGAGCAGCUGAAGAAACACCAGAUCCGUUUGAAGAAACACCAGAUCCGUUGCCAUCACUGUCUCUCGCUGGGGCACAUCGCCAAGAACUGCCGCGACCCGUGGAGGUGCGCCGGCUGCCUCCGCUGGGGGCACCGCGCUCGGGAUUGCAAGAAGCGCUGCUCUCCACCGCUCCCUCAGGCCCGCCGUGCUCCAUCCUCUGCCCCGGCGCCGACCAUGCCUCGUCUUGGGGAUGCGUGCACCAGGCCGGCUGAGUUGUUCUCGGUGGUCCAGUGUACGCCGGACAUGCUGGUCCAGCGCGCCCACCUCGAGGGACACGGCGUCAUCGCCCGGACAUUGUUGUUGCUACAACUUGCAGUCGUGGGAUGGCACAGCUGCUCUUAUUUUGUUAGUGAUCAACUGCCAAAGCUCUUUUUUAUGUGUUGCACGCAUGCAUCCUGAUGUCUGUUGAAUUCCAGAGCUCGUCAAGAUGCUGUCUGUGCUCUGGUCCGCGAUGUUGCUGCCACCGUUGUCUGUCUCCAAGAAACCAAGCUCGAUGCCGUUGACUCUA